UUAUUGGUAUAGAUAUUUAAUACUGUGAUGUUUUUCUCCCUGCGCGCAGCUUAGCCAUGUUCCACAGUCCGCAGCAUGUGGCGCCUCUCUCUCCUUUCAUCUUCCGUGACUCCUGCUUGGCAGACUCGCUGUGUCGUCAGGAGGAGUGCUGUGCACGGGGGUUUACAGGGAUGGAGCGGAAGGAGACGGGGCAGGACUCGAACGAUGAGGAGACACCCUCAAAGCGGGAACUGGCCACACGACAGAAAUAGAGAAGGCAGACAGACGUCCUCCCACAGUGCUGAGAAGAAACCUGCCAUGAAGGAUUAACCACGAGUCUGGAGUGUACACUGAUGAAGGCAGGGUUAUUAUUAUGGAAUUCCUUCUGUUGGAGCAAUAAGAAUACAUCCUCAGGUAUGGCUGUGAUCUCUUUUCUUCUUGACCUGACUUAGGUCUGUUUCAUGUUUAAUUGUCAAGAAUAACCAGCUCUUCAAUUUACUUAUCUAUUAAGUAAUCUUCCCCUUUAUUUUUUAAAUUUCUGAGUGUACUAUUAAUAUUUUUUCAUAUUUAUUUGGUUUAUUUCAUUUUGCUAUAUCCUUUUGUUGGAUACUUGAUUCAUUUAUUUUACUUUUUUUCUUCUAAAAAGUAGUUAAUUCUGUGAAUUUUCC
rnacentral:lncRNA from 1 species